GACGAACGCUGGCGGCGUGCUUAACACAUGCAAGUCGAACGAUGAAGUUCCUUCGGGAAUGGAUUAGUGGCGAACGGGUGAGGAACACGUGAGAAACCUGCCUUUCAUUUUGGGAUAACUCCGGGAAACCGGGGCUAAAACCGAAUACUCCGUCUCGGCGGCCUCGCCGAGCCGGGAAAAAACGUUGAUGAAAGAUGGUCUCGCGGCCUAUCAGCUAGUUGGUGAGGUAAUGGCUCACCAAGGCAACGACGGGUAGCCGGCCUGAGAGGGCGACCGGCCACACUGGGACUGAGACACGGCCCAGACUCCUACGGGAGGCAGCAGGGGGGAAUAUUGGGCAAUGGGCGCAAGCCUGACCCAGCGACGCCGCGUGAGGGAUGAAGGCCUUCGGGUUGUAAACCUCUUUCAGUAGGGAAGAAGCGAAAGUGACGGUACCUAAAGAAGAAGCACCGGCUAACUAUGUGCCAGCCGCCGCCGUAA
rnacentral:rRNA from 1 species